UGACCUUGACCCCAGUGACCUCAAACCUCAUCAAAAGGUAGAGGUCCAUGCAAGGUAUCUACAUGCCAAAUAUGUAAGAGAUCGGUAAAGUAUUGAAGGUGCUAUGAGAAACUGUAACAAAAGUCUAUUAUUAGCCUUGGUGACCUUGACCCCAGUGACCUCAAACGUCAUCAAAAGGUAGAGGUCAAUGCAAGGUAUCUACAUGCCAAAUAUGAAAGAGAUCGGUAAAGUAUUGAAGGUGCUAUGAGAAACUGUAAUAAAAGUGUGAC